GUGCCAGCCGCCGCGGUAAUACAGAGGGUGCAAGCGUUAAUCGGAAUUACUGGGCGUAAAGCGCGCGUAGGUGGUUUGUUAAGUUGGAUGUGAAAGCCCCGGGCUCAACCUGGGAACUGCAUUCAAAACUGACAAGCUAGAGUAUGGUAGAGGGUGGUGGAAUUUCCUGUGUAGCGGUGAAAUGCGUAGAUAUAGGAAGGAACACCAGUGGCGAAGGCGACCACCUGGACUGAUACUGACACUGAGGUGCGAAAGCGUGGGGAGCAAACAGGAUUAGAAACCCCCGUAGUCC
rnacentral:rRNA from 1 species